rnacentral:sRNA from 1 species
GCCGGGCGCAGUGGUGCACGCCUAUAAUCCCAGUGGCUUGGGAGGCUGAGGCAGGAGGAUUGUGAGUUCAAAGGCGAGGCACUUAGCAACUCAGUGAGACCCUGUCUCUA